UACGGAGGGAGCUAGCGUUAUUCGGAAUUACUGGGCGUAAAGCGCACGUAGGCGGCUUUGUAAGUAAGAGGUGAAAGCCUGGUGCUCAACACCAGAACUGCCUUUUAGACUGCAUCGCUUGAAUCCAGGAGAGGUGAGUGGAAUUCCGAGUGUAGAGGUGAAAUUCGUAGAUAUUCGGAAGAACACCAGUGGCGAAGGCGGCUCACUGGACUGGUAUUGACGCUGAGGUGCGAAAGCGUGGGGAGCAAACAGGG
rnacentral:rRNA from 1 species